rnacentral:pre_miRNA from 1 species
AAUAGAAGAAUGACAAAUCAGAUUUUUUCUCUUGAUUUUCAACUUUUUUUUUCUCCUUAGAAAAAAAUAAAUCCAACUAAAAAAGCUAAAAAUCAGGAGAAAAAAUCUAAUUGGUCAUUAUCCUAUU